UAGUGAAAUAUUUAUUAAUCUAAAAAUUCUUUUAAAACCCAAGAUGACAGCAAAAACAGUCAUUGUCUCUACAUCGGUUUUAUUUUUAUUGACUUCUACACGGUUACCUUGGCUAUACAAUGGGAAAUCCUUUCGACUAACACUGCUCUGUUCAUAAUCGAUUUUUAAUUGCAAUGAUUAACAAGAGCGCCCUGAGAAAACUUCAGUCCAAACAGGGUGCCACGUUUUGAAAAAGUUUUGAAUGCACUGAUGUAGUUGCAGCGAUCGUUUUAAUUUUGAAAACGGUUUGACGUUUUUAAACCGUUUUAAAGUAUUUACGCGACAAUAAUAAUAGAUACGUUUUAAUUUCAAACCAUUUUAACGCGAUCUGCAUAGUACAACAUUAAGUGCAAAAUAAUCGCAGCGGUUGUCGGAUAAACAACUUAUUUCGAAAGUUUAAGUCGUGCGAGUCACGUGGACUGUAUAAUACACGCGAUAACGCGAGCUGUACAAAAUAUAACUGCGUAAUGUAAUAUGCACACCCGGGCAAAUGAAACAUUAC